rnacentral:rRNA from 1 species
UACGUAGGGGGCAAGCGUUGUCCGGAAUUAUUGGGCGUAAAGCGCGCGCAGGCGGUUGUUUAAGUCUGAUGUUUAAACCCAGGGCUCAACCUUGGGUCGCAUUGGAAACUGGGCAACUGGAGUGUAGGAGAGGAAAGUGGAAUUCCACGUGUAGCGGUGAAAUGCGUAGAGAUGUGGAGGAACACCAGUGGCGAAGGCGAGUCCCUGGACAACACCUGACACUGAGGCACGAAAGCUAGGGGAGCAAACAGG